UUGCCAAGGGGGGGUUGGGGGAGAUCCUGCCCCCCCUUGCCAAGGGGGGGUUGGGGGGGAUACUGCCCCCCCUUGCCAAG
rnacentral:tRNA from 1 species